AUCCUUUUGUGGUUGAUAAGCGUGGUGACUGGGUUUCCCGGGGCCGUGUGAGGGGUGCCUUUCUCCAGCCUCGUUAUGAUGUUGACUCAGUCCCCUUCUGACG
ensembl:snoRNA